GUACGAGAGGACCGAGUUGGACAUACCUCUGGUGUACCAGUUGUUGUGCCAACAGCAUAGCUGGGUAGCUAAGUAUGGAUAGGAUAAUUACUGAAAGCAUCUAAGUAAGAAACCUUCCUUAAGAUUAGAUUUCCCUAUUAGGGCCGUGAAAGACUAUCACGUUGAUAGGCUGGGUGUGUAAGUAUGGUAACAUAUGUAGCUAACCAGUACUAAUAGCCCGAUUGAUUUACUUAAUUUGUAACUAUAUGUAGUGUUAAAACUGCAAUUUAUCUUUUUGCUUACUUGGUUUAUAGCUUAAUUGGGUUGGUGGUAAUAGCAGAAGUGGUACACCCAGCUUUACAUUUCGAACCUGGAAGUUAAGCCUUCUAGCGCUGAUGGUACUUUGUCUUA
rnacentral:misc_RNA from 1 species